rnacentral:rRNA from 1 species
UUACGACUACAUAUCAGGCAUAUCAAUAAGCGGAGGAAAAGAAACUAACUAGGAUUCCCUCAGUAACGGCGAGUGAAGCGGGAAGAGCUCAAAUUUGAAAUCUUCAAGGUUCUACCUUGACGAAUUGUAGUUUAAAGAAGUGUUUUCUGUUGGAGUUUUGGUAAAAGUUCUUUGGAAUAGGACAUCAUAGAGGGUGAGAAUCCCGUAUUUGACCAUUAUUUCCAGCUUUGUGAUACACUUUCAAAGAGUCGGAUUGUUUGGGAAUGCAGUCCAAAAUGGGUGGUAAAUUUCAUCUAAAGCUAAAUAUUGGCGAGAGACCGAUAGCGAACAAGUACCGUGAGGGAAAGAUGAAAAGAACUUUGAAAAGAGAGUUAAACAGUACGUGAAAUUGUCAAAAGGGAAGCGUUUGACACCAGUGUUGUUUUCUCGAAAAUCAAUUAAAAAGAGGUGGAUUUUGUGUUGUAUUGACCUUUAUCAGCUUUCUGCACUCUUUUCCUGUCUUUUUUAAUGCACUUUUCGUUUAACAAGUCAACAUCAAUUUCUUUUGUUGUAAAAGGGUCAUUGGAAGGUGGCUUUCUUUUCGGAGAAAGUGUUUAUAGCCUUUGGCCUCUGCAAUCGGAGAGAUUGAGGUCUGCAGCGUAGAUCCUUCGGGGUUAGAUACAUUUGUGCUAAGUUAUAGCCUUUCAUAGACAACUUGUUGACUAUGAUCAGUCAUGUAGCUUACUCGCUUAUGCUAUUUUACCUACGCUUAGGAUGUUGAGCGCAUGUCUCUCUCU